rnacentral:rRNA from 1 species
GAUGAACGCUAGCGGCAGGCUUAACACAUGCAAGUCGAGGGGUAUAGUUCUUCGGAACUAGAGACCGGCGCACGGGUGCGUAACGCGUAUGCAAUCUACCUUUUACAGGGGGAUAGCCCAGAGAAAUUUGGAUUAAUACCCCAUAGUAUGUUAGAGUGGCAUCAUUUUAACAUUAAAGUUCCAACGGUAAAAGAUGAGCAUGCGUCCCAUUAGCUAGAUGGUAAGGUAACGGCUUACCAUGGCGACGAUGGGUAGGGGUCCUGAGAGGGAGAUACCCCACACUGGUACUGAGACACGGACCAGACUCCUACGGGAGGGAGCAGUGAGGAAUAUUGGACAAUGGGCGCAAGCCUGAUCCAGCCAUGCCGCGUGCAGGAAGACGGUCCUAUGGAUUGUAAACUGCUUUUGUACAGGAAGAAACACUCCCUCGUGAGGGAGCUUGACGGUACUGUAAGAAUAAGGAUCGGCUAACUCCGUGCCAGCCGCCGCGGUAAGAC